ACUCCGUAGCUCAGUUGGUAGAGCAACUGACUCUUAAUCAGUGGGUCGAAGGUUCGAAUCCUUCCGGGGUCA
rnacentral:tRNA from 1 species